AAAAUGUGUAUUCAUCACGUGUCUCCCUAAAACUUCUACACUAUGUGCCUGCUGCGGUGCAUGUGAGCUGGCCUCACACAAGCAGCUCUGUGUGGAGCUGUCAUGAGAAUAAUUAACUGUGAAAAAGCUGGCUGUGCCACAACUGGACUGAAAGAGAUAGAUUUCUGGGGUGUUAUUUUGUUUUAAGCCUUCAUUUUCAGUAUUUGGCAUUUCCUAUGACCCUACAGAAGUCCUUCAAGUCCUCUCCUGCUCCUCCUCUACCCAUUCCUCCUACGCACCCUUGUUUCUGUGGUUGUUCAGCUCCUGGGCCCUUCUCCCACAGGCUGAGGGAAGCAAAAACAUCCUUCCUUGCUCCAGAAAAGGGCAGGAGGGUAAUGUGGUUCACUCUCUUUGUACAAAGCCCAGCCUGUUUGUUUGCAAAUGUAAGCAACAGGAAAGCUCUUCUUUCAAAGUUAAUGAGGAACUUUAAAGUGGGGCCCAGAGCAGUUCUCCACGAGGAUAAUAACACCCAGAUCAGUGGAGUUUCAGAACUGGGUGGCGGCUUCAUUACUGUCUGGAAAGACUAUUAGGGCCAAGUAAUCAACAUACUUCUUCAGGCAUUAUGUUAAGGAGGGUAAAGCUACCUGACAGACUGAAUUUUGCCAUUUGAAACUAAACUUAAAUGUAGAGUCAACAGUAUCCUUAAAUAAAUUAAACUUUAUUUUGUAGGAAAAAGGAAAAAGAAGCAGAAGUGAAUGGUGGUUCUAGAGAUGCCAUCUUGCAAUGGCAAUGAUCUAACAUGUUGCAACCUUGACUUUCCCCCUCUCUGGCAGGGCAUGAGCUCCUAGGAAAGAAGAGCAAUGCCAUCUGAAUACUGGGGAGAUAAGGACAGGUGGUACCCUGGGAGGAGACUGUCUUCAAAGAAGGAAGAACAGCCAGACUUCUCUGCCCAAUGGAAGAGACAAGAAGGAGUUAGGGAAACAGCAGCUGCUGUAGCUGCUUUUCCUAGUUGGCCUCCAACCUGUUUCCCACACUGGAAGCUGACAGGCUGCAGGCCACAACAACCUUUGGACCUGCUGGACAGCAUUUCUUUCCCGCGCAUCUGCAAGCAGCAGCGCAGGGACGUGUCCCACUGCUGCCGGGCCAACGCCGCGUGCUCGCUGAGCUCAUCAGGCUGCUGGCUCCCUUCCCAGCUCUGCGACACCAGCUGAGCAUCCUGCAGCAGAAAAUAGAGGUAGCUGAGCUAGGGAAUUGUGAGGUGCCAUCUUACAGGGCAUCUCCACCCACACGUAGCAGGGAGUCAGAAUGGGCAGCAGUAGCGGCAGCUUUAAUAUGAAUGCAAGUAAAAGCUCUGGAGUGUUAUUAAUGUGAUAGAACCUUUCCAGGGAAACUGUUUAGGAUAGUUCCCAGAUGCUCAGCCGUGAGCUCGCUUAGUGUGAAUAAGAUUCAUCAAGCCUCUUAAUGGCCUACUGCUCCCUUGUUAUGUGAAUGGAAAGCAAAAAAAGGAAAUUUGUUCCAGUGGGUACAAACUAAUGUAAGUCCAU